GGAAGAAUUCUCCUUUUCCCUCCAUUGUGUCCCAAUGAAAUUCAUGCACCCAGCUCUCUGAAGCCAAACAGGCAGAUAUUAACUGGAGACAGAUAUCUGAUAAAGAUCUGAAAGACUGAGCAAGGUCUCUUUCGCACCAUGCUCCGCCUCUCAAUUGCGAUGAACCCGGAGUGCCAAAUGCCAGAGGAAUACGCAAUCAAGCAUUUCCUUUGAAGGCAAGAUCCGCCGGGCCCUUAAAUUAUCCACUGACACCUCAUAACAUUCUGGGCUGCCCUUGGCACCCCACAACUCUUUCACUUUUCCCCCUUUUCUUAAAUAGGUUUCCUUAUGGUUUUUAAUUUAGAUGUAUUUUUUUAAUUUAUUUUUUUUUAGCCACAGCAAAUAAGUGAACCAUUCAAAUUGAAAUGCCGGAAUGAACCGAGCUGAACAAUAAACUAAAAGAUGC
rnacentral:lncRNA from 11 species